rnacentral:rRNA from 1 species
GAUGAACGCUGGCGGCGUGCCUAAUACAUGCAAGUCGAGCGAACGGACGAGAAGCUUGCUGCUCUGAUGUUAGCGGCGGACGGGUGAGUAACACGUGGAUAACCUACCUAUCAGACUGGGAUAACUUCGAGACACCGGAGCUAAUACCGGAUAAUAUUUUGAACCGCAUGGUUCAAAAGUGAAUGACGGUCUUGCUGUCACUUAUAGAUCGAACCGGGCUGCAUUAGCUAGUUGGUAAGGUAACGGCUUACCAAGGCAACGAGGCAUAGCCGACCAGAGAGGGGGAUCGGCGACACUGGAACUGAGAGACGGGCCAGACUCCGACGGGAGGCAGCAGUAGGGAAUCUUCCGCGAUGGGCGAAAGCCUGACGGAGCAACGCCGCGUGAGUGAUGAAGGUCUUCGGAUCGUAAAACUCUGUUAUUAGGGAAGAACAUAUGUGUAAGUAACUGUGCACAUCUUGACGGUACCUAAUCAGAAAGCCACGGCUAACUACGUG